rnacentral:rRNA from 1 species
ACUCCUACGGGAGGCAGCAGUGGGGAAUAUUGCACAAUGGGCGCAAGCCUGAUGCAGCCAUGCCGCGUGUAUGAAGAAGGCCUUCGGGUUGUAAAGUACUUUCAGCAGUGAGGAAGGCGGGUACGUUAAUAGCGUGCUUGUUUGACGUUAGCUGCAGAAGAAGCACCGGCUAACUCCGUGCCAGCAGCCGCGGUAAUACGGAGGGUGCGAGCGUUAAUCGGAAUUACUGGGCGUAAAGCGCAUGCAGGUGGUUUGUUAAGUCAGAUGUGAAAGCCCGGGGCUCAACCUCGGAAUUGCAUUUGAAACUGGCAGACUAGAGUACUGUAGAGGGGGGUAGAAUUUCAGGUGUAGCGGUGAAAUGCGUAGAGAUCUGAAGGAAUACCGGUGGCGAAGGCGGCCCCCUGGACAGAUACUGACACUCAGAUGCGAAAGCGUGGGAGCAAACAGGAUUAGAUACCCUGGUAGGAUAGCG